GGCGGGAUACCAAAGCGGACGAAUGGGGCUGUCUUGAAAACAGUUGUAGCGCAAGCUACCAGAGGUUCGAAUCCUCUUCCCGCCGCCA
rnacentral:tRNA from 1 species